UACGAAGGGGGCUAGCGUUGUUCGGAAUCAUUGGGCGUAAAGGGCGUGUAGGCGGUUUGUUAAGUCAUGUGUGAAAUCCCUCGGCUCAACCGGGGAACGACGCAUGAAACUGGCAAGCUAGAGUACCAAAGAGGGGGGUGGAAUUCCCGGUGUAGCGGUGAAAUGCGUAGAUAUCAGGAAGAACACCAAUGGCGAAAGGCAGCUCUCUGGGAGCGGUACUGACGCUGAGACGCGAAAGCGUGGGGAGCGAACAGG
rnacentral:rRNA from 1 species